GACGGAGGAUGCAAGUGUUAUCCGGAAUCACUGGGCGUAAAGCGUCUGUAGGUGGUUUAAUAAGUCAACUGUUAAAUCUUGAGGCUCAACCUCAAAAUCGCAGUCGAAACUAUUAGGCUAGAGUAUAGUAGGGGUAAAGGGAAUUUCCAGUGGAGCGGUGAAAUGCGUAGAUAUCUGGAAGAACACCGGUGGCGCAAGCGGCUUGCUGGGCUGUAACUGACACUGAGGAACGAAAGCUAGGGUAGCGAAUGGG
rnacentral:rRNA from 1 species